UUGCAAUAUAUAUGGUGUUACACAACAAAUGAUUAGAUGGUUAUUUCCUGAAUUCCCUCCAGAAACCGCAGAUCUGGAUGGUGUGUUGGACUUGUUGACCUAAUGGUUAGAGCUUUACUGUAAGGACAAGAUGGAGCAUGUCCCACAGGCUGUGGUUCCACUGUGGUAAAAGGAGGGCUGGCUGCUGCUACCUUCUCCUAUGACCGAAAAGAGCUUCUUGACAUCAAAACUGGGAUUACUCACCUAAAAUUGGACGAGGAGUUUUUCUUCAAUGAGUCGGACGCGAGGGAUAUACAACGGACACCCGACCAGGCCCAGAUCCCCGUGAUUCGCUGGAAAAGGAAACAGUCGUGGCUGAACGCCGACAUUAAGAACAUACUGCUGGCGGGUUAUACACUCUAUUGGCAGGACAGAACCGCAGCCUCUGUACCGGGCGUGGCUGCAGGCCAGUUUCCGCCACAGUCCCUUCAAGGACCAGGAGCAGGUGGGAGUGCUGCUGAACCAGUACAUAGAGCGG